AGACUGCGAUAAGCUGUGGGGAGGAGUCAAUAUCCUNUGAUCCGCAGAUCUCCGAAUGGGGAAACCCACCACAUUUUAGUGGUAUCUUUGUUUGAAUACAUAGAGCAAAGAAGCAAACCUGGCGAACUGAAACAUCUAAGUAGCCAGAGGAAAGGAAAUCAAAGAGACUCCGUUAGUAGUGGCGAGCGAACGCGGACCAGGCCAGUAAUCAGAAAGCUUUAACUAAAAUCCUUUGGAAAAUGGAACGAAACAGGGUGAUAGUCCCGUAUAGGUAAAAAGCAGAAAGAUUCUUGAGUAGGGCGGGACACGCGAAAUCCUGUCUGAAUAUGGGGAGACCACUCUCCAAGCCUAAGUACUACUCAGUGACCGAUAGUGAACAAGUACCGUGAGGGAAAGGUGAAAAGAACCCCGAGCAGGGGAGUGAAAUAGAUCCUGAAACUGAAUGCUUACAAGCAGUCGGAGCAGUUUUUCUUUUUUUAUUGUGUCUUUCUGAUACAGUUAAGAAAGUUCUUCUGUGACGGCGUACCUCUUGUAUCAUGGGUCAGCGAGUUCGUUGGUAAAGCAAGCUUAAGCCGUUAGGUGUAGGCGUAGCGAAAGCGAGUCUGAAUAGGGCGAAUAGUUUUACUAAUGAGACCCGAAACCAGGUGAUCUAUCUAUGAGCAGGCUGAAGAUGCGGUAACACGUGUUGGAGGGCCGAACCAUAUCCUGUUGCAAAAGGUGUGGAUGACUUGUGGAUAGGGGUGAAAGGCCAAUCAAACCUGGAAAUAGCUGGUUCUCCGCGAAAUCUAUUUAGGUAGAGCGUUGAGUGUUUCUUUUGGGGGGUAGAGCACUGAAUGGGCUAGGGGGAAGAAAUUCUUACCAAACCCAAACAAACUCCGAAUACCCAAAAGCCAAGCUCAGCAGACAGACAGCGGGUGAUAACGUCCGUUGUCGAGAGGGAAACAACCCUGAUCGCCGUUUAAGGUCCCCAAAUUGUGGCUAAGUGUAAAAGGAAGUGAAUUGACCAAGACAGCUAGGAGGUUGGCUUAGAAGCAGCCAUCCUUUAAAGAAAGCGUAAUAGCUCACUAGUCUAAUUAAGUCGAUUUGCGCCGAAAAUGUAACGGGGCUAAAGCCACAUACCGAAAGCGCGAGUGUGUUUUUGUCGCUGACAAAAGCAUGCAGUAGCGGAGCGUUCCGUACGUCGUUGAAGAAAGAGCGAGAGCUUUUUUGGAGAUAUCGGAAGUGAGAAUGCUGACAUGAGUAACGUAAAGAAGUGUGAAAAACACUUCCGCCGAAAGUCCAAGGGUUUCUGUGCAAGGGUAAUCCGCGCAGAGUGAGUCGGCCCCUAAGGCGAGGACGAAAGUCGUAGUCGAUGGGAAGCAGGUUAAUAUUCCUGCACCUGGCAAGUGUUGACGGAAAAAAUAAAUUGUAAGUCCUUAAAGGUUUGGUCUUGCAUGAGUUUUUUCCCAAGAAAUAGCCUUGUCGUUUAGACCGUACCCCAAACCGACACUGGUGGACUGGUAGAGCAUACUAAGGCGCUUGAGAGAAUGAUGUUGAAGGAACUCGGCAAAUUGACCUUGUAACUUCGGGAUAAAAGGUGCCUUUUUUAGGGAAACCUAUGAAAGGUGGCACAUAAGAGGGGGUAGCGACUGUUUAUCUAAAACACAGGACUCUGCAAAGAAGAAAUUCGACGUAUAGGGUCUGACGCCUGCCCGGUGCUGGAAGGUUAAAAGGAGGUGUGCAAGCAUCGAAUUGAAGCCCCAGUAAACGGCGGCCGUAAAACUAACGGUCCUAAGGUAGCGAAAUUCCUUGUCGGAUAAGUUCCGACCCGCAUGAAUGGCGUAACGACUUCCCCACUGUCUCCAACAUCAACUCAGUGAAAUUGAAUUCCCCGUGAAGAUGCGGGGUACCCGCGGUUAGACGGAAAGACCCCGUGCACCUUUACU
rnacentral:rRNA from 1 species